AGAACGAACGCUGGCGGCAUGCCUAAUACAUGCAAGUCGAACGAAGGCUUCGGCCUUAGUGGCGCACGGGUGCGUAACGCGUGGGAAUCUGCCCCUUGGUUCGGAAUAACAGUUGGAAACGACUGCUAAUACCGGAUGAUGACGAAAGUCCAAAGAUUUAUCGCCAAGGGAUGAGCCCGCGUAGGAUUAGCUAGUUGGUGAGGUAAAGGCUCACCAAGGCGACGAUCCUUAGCUGGUCUGAGAGGAUGAUCAGCCACACUGGGACUGAGACACGGCCCAGACUCCUACGGGAGGCAGCAGUAGGGAAUAUUGGACAAUGGGCGAAAGCCUGAUCCAGCAAUGCCGCGUGAGUGAUGAAAGGCCUUAAGGGUUGUAAAGCUCUUUUACCCGAGAUGAUAAUGACAGUAUCGGAGAAUAAGCCCCGGCUAACUCCGUGCCAGCAGCCGC
rnacentral:rRNA from 1 species